rnacentral:rRNA from 1 species
CUAAGGGCAUCGAAGCCGGACCGGAAGGACCGGUGGAGCGCUUAGAAGUGAGAAUGCCGGUAUGAGUAGCGAAAGAGGGGUGAGAAUCCCCUCCGCCGAAAGCCUAAGGUUUCCUGAGGAAGGCUCGUCCGCUCAGGGUUAGUCGGGACCUAAGCCGAGGCCGAAAGGCGUAGGUGAUGGACAACAGGUUGAUAUUCCUGUACCACCUCCUCACCGUUUGAGCAAUGGGGGGACGCAGGAGGAUAGGGCAAGCGCGCGGCUGGAUGUGCGCGUCCAAGCAGUUAGGCUGGCAAGCAGGCAAAUCCGCUUGCCGGAAGGCUGAGCUGUGAUGGCGAGGGAAAGGAAGUACCGAAGUUCCCGAUUCCACACUGCCAAGAAAAGCCUCUAGCGAGGUGAGAGGUGCCCGUACCGCAAACCGACACAGGUAGGCGAGGAGAGAAUCCUAAGGUGAGCGAGAGAACUCUCGUUAAGGAACUCGGCAAAAUGACCCCGUAACU